CUUGGAGGGAUCGACUUUCUGGAAGUUCUUGACAACGGUGACGAUCCGAUCGGCAACCUCAGACUUGUCGAGGAAGGUGCCCCUGGCCUCAUCGGAGAAGGCGCGGCGGUGGAGGAGCUGGGAGAAGGAGAGGGGGGCUGCCGGCCGAAGAGGCGCCGGAGAUGUCACCAUCACCCUGAGGUGCUUCAGGAGAGCGCUUCUUGCCGCCGCCGCCGCCAUUGGAGAGAAGAGCAAGAAAAAGCUCGGAGCUUUAUGAGCGAUCUCUUCCUCGUGUUUUAUCGCGAAGGGAAGAAACUACCCUUCGAGAACCUUUCGAGUUCUGUUCUGGUGCUCCCGCGGAGCAGUGGUUGCCCUUCCUCGCUCCCUCCCCCCAGCUUAAAAUACCAUAAUGGAUAGACUACUUUUAGUGCAAAUGCAUUAAAAUGCUAUGAAUAGAUCAAGAAAAGAGUCUAAUUCCGAGCUCAAAGUGAAUUUUUAGGACAAAACAGCCUGUUGAGAGUUUUAAGAAAGCAGACAGAGACCAAAGCAACACAGACAAUGUCUCAUUUUGCCUGAGGAUGUGAAGCAAUAAAGUCAACGGCUACGUUGAUGGAAUCAAUCUUGUCUGCUUCGUUGUCUGGGAUCUCAAACCCAAAUUCUUCCUCUAGGGCCAUGACAAUCUCUACAGAGUCCAAACUGUCCAGACCAAGGUCCUUCUGGAAAUGAGCAUUUGGUGUGACCUGCACAAAGAUCACAAUAUUAGACCACUCUCAUUAGUAGUAUAUCAAUUUACAGUGUCAAGUUUGGCCAAUGAUGUUACAAAUUUUUGGCAUUCAUGAAUUUGGAACCAACAAUUUUCAGAUGCAUUUUUAUUACAUUUUUCUACAAUAAUUCUCCAUAGGCUAGUCACUCAUCAUUGUUACUAGCAAUUGUUGAAUAACAAUAGUAGCGAUGCUGACAAUAAUGAUGAACAUCUACCAACAUGCCAUUGCAGCCAGUCUUGCAAAAUACCACAGGGCAAUACUUGAGCUGGUCAAAACAGCAAGUUAUAAUCUUUGGUGGGCAAUGUAAUAUUCCAAACAAGCAUAUUCUAAAAAUUUUAAUUAUUUUAUGACAAAAAACAUACCACCUCAAAAUUUUAUUCUUAUAAAAAUUACAGCUUACGUAGCAACAUCUCAAAGAUGCCGCAGCAUUUUAAAAUUUUUACAUAAUCCCCAUCAUGCAGAAUAAGUAUAAUUUCUUGAAGAAUAUUGGCCGAACAUCACUCUGAAGUAAAUGUUGUCCCUCUUCUGCUCUGUUACGCAACUCUGGCCCACAAUGGCCCACAAUGUGGGCCUCAUGUGACUCAUAAUAUUUGUCCUCAAAAGUCCCCCAAGUUUGCAGGAACACUUCCUCUAGCCUCAUCUAUUACUGUUUAAAACAUCUUUCGAUCAUGAUUGAGGCAUAAAUUUUAAGUAGAUAGUAUGUAUAAACAUUCCACCCUAUUCACAAGCUACAUAGCUUGUUUUACUUCUAAAUCUUUGACCCAUUAACCUUGAUAAAUUAAAUUUAGCAUUGGACAUUAAAUUUGUCCUGUCAAGCAGCAAUACAUCAUUUGAGAGUUAAAUACUAUAUGGUCCUUCCAGAAUCAAUAAUCCAUUUAUAAUAGUCUAAUAUGAUGAUGGUUUAAAAGUUGAUUUCUCGUGCAGGCUCAGGUAAAAAUUUCAUUGUGGUGUCACAGCUACAUGUAUUACUGCUCCAUGCAUGUUUGUGACAAUAUGAAGAUCGUCCUUUGGUAUAUGCUAUCGAUCAGUUACCUUCAAUAUGCCAAUAAGGCAGAUAAAUCUUGCUCUUGUCUAGAUUUUUUUCAUCAAUUGCCUAUGCAUGUCACAUAUCUUAGUUUUUUUUUUUCAAUUGCAUGAUCGUGCAUUAUUUUUUAAAUUUUCAAUAUAAUGAUCUUCUAUAAGCAACAUCCUUGCAAGAAAACCAAAAUUGGAACUCAAGCAUCAACUCUUCCAAGAAGAGAUUUGAAUGCAGCCUUAAGAAUGUAAAGAAUAGCAUUUCAAAAUCCGAGGAAAAAGCUACGAAUGAAUGUGAAGAAACAUCAAACCUGCAGAAGAAGGAGAAAAAUAGCAAAGUGCACAUAGAUACAACCUCUUGUCAAGGCAUUAGAAUGCUAAUCUUUAGUAUAAAAAUUCAAAUAAGAAACAAAAAACCAUUUUCCUUUGAUUAAGUCAAAUGAAUGUGAUCUAUAAUUGUAUUAAUGCAGGAAUCAGAUGAUUUCAUGUUACAUUUCAUUGUCUAUUCUCUUCUCUAUUAUAUUUAAUUCAGAUAAGUUCAUGUUGUUUCCCGAAAUUCUUGAGGCUAAGUGAUGCAAUGUUUCACCAAACGCAUAUAGAACCUUAAUCAUGCUACAGAAGAAUACAUGCAUCCAGGGUGCAAUUGAAGGAGUCACAAUGGUAACAACUCAGAAAAUCCUUCUAAUAUGGCUUAUGCACUAUUAAGUAAUGCUGAUAGGCUCCAGCUUGAAGAAUGAAAGGGGAAAAAUACAGAGGAAUCUAUGAGUUCUUUUUUUUGGGGGGGAGGGGGCGGGGGACGGAGGAGCGUAGGGGAGAAAGGUGAUAUGAUAAAGAUGGCAAGACCUUGAAACAUUCACAUAAUUUGAGGUUGCAGGAUUUAUCCAGCUUUUAGAAAAAGAUACGGAAGAUAAUAAUUGAACCUUUUUCAUCAUUAAAUUAAGCACAACAUGGUACCAGUCUUGUAAUGGAUCAUAACAUCACAUGUUUAUUUGGAAUGUGAUUAAUUUAGUGAAUAACUAUAAAAUAGAAAACCAAAAAAAUAUAGCAAAUAACACAAAUGUGAAAACAAGGAAGAGGAAACUGAGAAAUUUGAGGUACUGCAUCUAUUAUUAUCCAUAGGCCAAUAAAAAAUUAGUAAUAUAUCAAGGAUGAGAACAGGUACAGAUUGAGAUAAUGAAUAAAGAACUGGGGCAAAGAUCUAAGAAAUUUGGUUAGAAAAACAUCAAGGCAACAAGACCUACUUCUGCACAUGCUGAGUUAUUAUCUAUUCUAGAAGUCACAGACAAAUAGUGUUCUAGGAAUGCCCAUGGGAUACUAUCAAACCAUAUUCAUAAUCAGCAUCAGCAGGAAUUGUGAACAAAGCCAUUCAAACAUAUUUCAAGCUAUUUCAGUUUUCUAACCACUUUCUUUCAAUUAAAUGUUACUUCACCCUCUGCUGUCUAUGCUUGGAAAUAAGACCAUGGUGCAUGAAAUUAGAACAGCAAGAACUCAUGUAUAUUACUACGGAUAGAUGCAUAUAGACUAAAGUUUAAAUGUUAGCUACGAUGCUGCAUUUAUAUAAUUUUAAUAACACUUCUCAAAAUUAUUAGUUGAACAACACCAAGAAAACAAUAAAAAACAUUUCUUUUUUUAAUCAAGCGCAAAGAGAAGGAAAGCACAAUACGAUCGGCAAACUAACUCAAUGGAAAGACGCCAACAGGAUCAUAUAGUUUGGAUUUGUGGAUUCAAACCAAAUUUAUGCAGUAAAACAAAUAUAUAGAUAAAAAUUAAUGAGACGUAUCAUUAAAACACACGACAUAAAAUGCUAAUCGUGUGACGAAUUAUGAUAAUUCGGAAAAUUCCAAACGCCGAAACACGUGGAAUAUGACAAUAAAACGGUUCCUUAAGAUUUAAGAAGAGUUUCAGCAAUGAAAUAAACCGUAAAUGAACCCUAAUUUCCAAGCUAACACUCGAAUCAGAGAAACCCUAGACUUAGGAGGAAUGGGAGGAUUUGGGGAUUGAGAUUACCUUGGAGGGAUCGACUUUCUGGAAGUUCUUGACAACGGUGACGAUCCGAUCGGCAACCUCAGACUUGUCGAGGAAGGUGCCCCUGGCCUCAUCGGAGAAGGCGCGGCGGUGGAGGAGCUGGGCGAAGGAGAGGGGGGCUGCCGGCCGAAGAGGCGCCGGAGAUGUCACCAUCACCCUGAGGUGCUUCAGGAGAGCGCUUCUUGCCGCCGCCGCCGCCAUUGGAGAGAAGAGCAAGAAAAAGCUCGGAGCUUUAUGAGCGAUCUCUUCCUCGUGUUUUAU
rnacentral:lncRNA from 1 species